rnacentral:rRNA from 1 species
UCCAGCAGUUCAAGAUAUUAGUCAAUGCUCGAAAGAGUGAACUAGCUAACUGAAAUCAAUUAAAAUAAUUGAUAACAUAAGGGAAAAUAAUGAUAUUACCUUAUUAUUAGUGUCGUCCAAAUCUGGUGCCAGAAGACUCGGUAAGGCCAGAGACACAAACGUUAAUCGUCUUAAUCAGGCGUAAAGGGUUUGUAGGCGGCUUUUAAAUUUACUUAUAAAAAUUAAAAAAUAUAAGUAAAAAAAUAAAAGCUAGAAUCAAAUAGAGGAUAUAUGAAAUAAUGCUUAGAGUAGGUCCGAUAUCCUUAGAUACUAAGUAGAAUAUUAAGGGCGAAAGCUUUUUUCCAUUAAUGAUUGACGCUCAGAAACGAAGGUGAGGAUAGGAAAUAGGAUUAGAUACCCAGAUACCCCUCUCUGUCAACGAUGAAUGGUAGUAUAUUAGUAAUUUAUUAAUAACAAUGUUAACACGAUAACCAUUCCGCCUUGUGAGUACAACUGCAAAGUUGAAAACAAAAAAAUUAGUCGGUUCGAGCAAC